GAUUGUUCACCCACCAAUAGGGAACGUGAGCUGGGUUUAGACCGUCGUGAGACAGAUUAGUUUUACCCUACUGAUGAUAGUAUAGCAAUAGUAAUUCAACCUAGUACGAGAGGAACCGUUGAUUCACACAAUUGGUCAUCGCACUUGGUUGAAAAGCCAGUGGCGCGAAGCUACUAUGCGCUGGAUUAUGACUGAACGCUUCUAAGUCAGAAUCUGGGCUAGAAGCGAUGGAUGCGCCCGCCGCCGGCUUGCUGACCCGCAGUAGGGGCCGUUCGACCCCCAAAGACAUGUGUCGUUGGCGAAGCCCGCGCGGUGAACGAGCCACGCGGGCCGCCUUGAAGUACAAUUCCUAUCUCAAGCGGUAGGUAGAAUCCUUUGCAGGCAACUUAAAUACCCGGUGGGGUACUGUAAGUGGCAGAGUGGCCUUGCUGCCAUGAUCCACUGAGAU
rnacentral:rRNA from 1 species